rnacentral:rRNA from 1 species
GAUGAACGCUGGCGGCGUGCCUAAUACAUGCAAGUCGAGCGAACGGAAGAGAAGCUUGCUUCUCUGAUGUUAGCGGCGGACGGGUGAGUAACACGUGGAUAACCUACCUAUAAGACUGGGAUAACUUCGGGAAACCGGAGCUAAUACCGGAUAAUAUUUUGAACCGCAUGGUUCAAAAGUGAAAGACGGUCUUGCUGUCACUUAUAGAUGGAUCCGCGCUGCAUUAGCUAGUUGGUAAGGUAACGGCUUACCAAGGCAACGAUGCAUAGCCGACCUGAGAGGGUGAUCGGCCACACUGGAACUGAGACACGGUCCAGACUCCUACGGGAGGCAGCAGUAGGGAAUCUUCCGCAAUGGGCGAAAGCCUGACGGAGCAACGCCGCGUGAGUGAUGAAGGUCUUCGGAUCGUAAAACUCUGUUAUUAGGGAAGAACAUAUGUGUAAGUAACUGUGCACAUCUUGACGGUACCUAAUCAGAAAGCCACGGCUAACUACGUG